GACGAACGCUGGCGGCGUGCUUAACACAUGCAAGUCGAACGCUGAAGCUCAGCUUUUGUUGGGUGGAUGAGUGGCGAACGGGUGAGUAACACGUGAGUAACCUGCCUCCUUCUUUGGGAUAACGCCCGGAAACGGGUGCUAAUACUGGAUAUUCACUGGUCUUCGCGUGGGGGUUGGUGGAAAGGGUUUUUCUGGUGGGGGAUGGGCUCGCGGCCUAUCAGCUUGUUGGUGGGGUGAUGGCCUACCAAGGCUUUGACGGGUAGCCGGCCUGAGAGGGUGACCGGUCACAUUGGGACUGAGAUACGGCCCAGACUCCUACGGGAGGCAGCAGUGGGGAAUAUUGCACAAUGGGCGCAAGCCUGAUGCAGCGACGCCGCGUGAGGGAUGGAGGCCUUCGGGUUGUGAACCUCUUUCGCUCAUGGUCAAGCCGCAACAAUGGUUGUGGUGAGGGUAGUGGGUAAAGAAGCGCCGGCUAACUACGUG
rnacentral:rRNA from 1 species